GUCUUCUACGGGGCGCAGCAGUGGGGAAUAUUGCACAAUGGGGGAAACCCUGAUGCAGCGACGCCGCGUGAGCGAAGAAGUAUUUCGGUAUGUAAAGCUCUAUCAGCAGGGAAGAGAAAUGACGGUACCUGAGUAAGAAGCACCGGCUGAAUACGUGCCAGCAGCCGCGGUAAUACGUAUGGUGCAAGCGUUAUCCGGAUUUACUGGGUGUAAAGGGCGAGUAGACGGCGUUGCAAGUCAGAUGUGAAAGGCUAGGGCUCAACCUUAGGAGAGCAUCUGAAACUGUAAUGCUAGAGUGCAGGAGG
rnacentral:rRNA from 1 species